AACGAACGCUGGCGGCAGGCUUAACACAUGCAAGUCGAACGCCCCGCAAGGGGAGUGGCGCACGGGUGAGUAACGCGUGGAUAUCUGCCUUUUGGUUCGGAAUAACCCCGGGAAACUGGGGCUAAUACCGGAUGGUUCCUACGGGAUAAAGAUUUAUCGCCAAAGGAUGAGUCCGCGUACGAUUAGCUAGUUGGUGAGGUAAUGGCUCACCAAGGCGACGAUCGUUAGCUGGUCUGAGAGGACGAUCAGCCGCACUGGGACUGAGACACGGCCCAGACUCCUACGGGAGGCAGCAGUGGGGAAUAUUGGACAAUGGGGGCAACCCUGAUCCAGCCAUGCCGCGUGAGUGAUGAAGGCCUUCGGGUUGUAAAGCUCUUUUGGCGGGGACGAUGAUGACGGUACCCGCAGAAUAAGCCCCGGCUAACUUCGUG
rnacentral:rRNA from 1 species